AGCUCCGGUGGCCUAAUGGUUAGAGCGCCCGCCUCGGAUGCGGGAGGUCGUGGGUUUGAAACCCGGUCGAGUCA